AGCGAACGCUGGCGGCGUGCCUAACACAUGCAAGUCGAACGUGAAAGGGAGCAAUCCCAAGUAAAGUGGCGUACGGGUGAGUAACACGUAGGUAAUCUACCCCAGAAUCUGGAAUAACCGGCCGAAAGGCUGGCUAAUACUGGAUAGAGCGACGGAAUCCGUAAUUGGGUUUUUCGGGAAAGGGAGCCUGUAAAAAGGCCUUCGUUCUGGGAUGAGCCUGCGUCCCAUCAGCUAGUUGGUGAGGUAAAAGCUUACCAAGGCAAUGACGGGUAGCUGGUCUGAGAGGACGAUCAGCCACACUGGAACUGAAACACGGUCCAGACUCCUACGGGAGGCAGCAGUGGGGAAUCAUGCGCAAUGGACGAAAGUCUGACGCAGCAACGCCGCGUGAGUGAAGAAGGCCUUCGGGUUGUAAAGCUCUGUCGAGUGGGACGAAAAUGCUUGGAGUUCACAGCUCCAGGAACUGACGGUACCACUAAAGGAAGCACCGGCUAACUCCGUG
rnacentral:rRNA from 1 species